rnacentral:rRNA from 1 species
AUUGAACGCUGGCGGCAGGCCUAACACAUGCAAGUCGAGCGGAUGAAGAGAGCUUGCUCUCUGAUUUAGCGGCGGACGGGUGAGUAAUGCCUAGGAAUCUGCCUGGUAGUGGGGAUAACGUUCCGGAAGGAAAGCUAAAUCCGCAUACGGUCUAAGGGAAAAAGCAGGGGAACUUCCGGCCUUGCGGCAACCGGUGAACCUUGGUCGGAUUAGCUAGUUGGUGAGGUAAUGGCUCACCAAGGCGACGAUCCGUAACUGGUCUGAGAGGAUGAUCAGUCACACUGGAACUGAGACACGGUCCAGACUCCUACGGGAGACAGCAGUGGGGAAUAUUGGACAAUGGGCGAAAGCCUGAUCCAGCCAUGCCGCGUGUGUGAAGAAGGUCUUCGGAUUGUAAGGCACUUUAAGUUGGGAGGAAGGGCAGUAAGUUAAUACCUUGCUGUUUUGACGUUACCGACAGAAUAAGCACCGGCUAACUUCGUGCCAGCAGCCGCAGUAACAC